AUUUAAUCAGCUUGCCUCUACUACAAUUACUUGUGUCAAAAGGAAUUCAGAAAAGAAAAAAAGAAAAGACAGAAUUGUUGGUUGAGAUUUCACAUUAAAAUAUAAGUUGGGCAUAGCAAAAAAGAUUUUCCAUCACGCACUUCUACAUUGAUAAUGGAAGAAGCAUUCUUCGCUUCUUCUUCCUGGCUUCUGUAACUUGCUUUGCAAUUG
rnacentral:misc_RNA from 1 species